GCGGCGGACGGGUGAGUAAUGCCUAGGAAUCUGCCUAGUAGUGGGGGAUAACUUGCCGAAAGGUAAGCUAAUACCGCAUACGUCCUACGGGAGAAAGCAGGGGACUCUUCGGAGCCUUGCGCUAUUAGAUGAGCCUAGGUCGGAUUAGUUAGUUGGUGAGGUAAUGGCUCACCAAGACUGCGAUCCGUAACUGGUCUGAGAGGAUGAUCAGUCACACUGGAACUGAGACACGGUCCAGACUCCUACGGGAGGCAGCAGUGGGGAAUAUUGGACAAUGGGGGAAACCCUGAUCCAGCCAUGCCGCGUGUGUGAAGAAGGUCUUAGGAUUGUAUAGCACUUUAAGUUGGGAGGAAGGGCAGUUAACUAAUACUUGACUGUUUUGACGUUACCGACAGAAUAAGCACCGGCUAACUUCGUGCCAGCAGCCGCGGUAAUACGAAGGGUGCAAGCGUUAAUCGGAAUUACUGGGCGUAAAGCGCGCGUAGGUGGUUCGUUAAGUUAGGAGUGAAAGCCCCGG
rnacentral:rRNA from 1 species